AUUGAACGCUGGCGGCAGGCCUAACACAUGCAAGUCGAACGAGUGGCGGACGGGUGAGUAAUAUCUAGGCAACUGCCUAAUGGAGGGGGAUAACUACUGGAAACUGUUGCUACUACCGCCUACUGUCGGAUCUGCCGUGAUGGGUCUAGCUGGUGGGUGGGGUAACGGCUCACCAAGGCGACGAUCACUAGCUGGUCUGAGGGGAUGACCAGUCACACUGGAACGGAGACACGGUGCAGACUCCUACGUGAGGCAGCAGUGGGGAAUAUUGGACAAGGGGCGCAAGCCUGAUGCAGCCAUGCGGCGUGUAUGAAGAGGGCCUUCGGGUUGUAAAGUACUUUAAGCGGGGGGGCGUUACCGACAGAAGAAGCACCGGCUAACUCCGUGCCAGCAGCCGCGGUAAUUC
rnacentral:rRNA from 1 species